rnacentral:lncRNA from 1 species
CAAAAAUAGUAAAAAUUGUGCCCUAGAGAAAAGGAGUGUGGGGGACGGGGAAUCUGAGAGGAAUAUAAGGAAAAGAAAAUGGCAUACCCAUGGGGUCGUUCACUCAUUCAUUCAUUCAGAAAAUCUUUAGUCACAGCUACCCGUUUAAUCUUUAAUUACAGCUACGGAUUGCAAACCUGGCCCUGCCGCAACAGCUUUUCGGUAUUUGCCUAAUCCUCGAGAUACUCCAUGAGGAACAUGUCGUCACCAGCUUCGUUAACGGACACGGGGACUUAGGAAGGUAACAAAUAAAUGUCAUUUCUGAAAGAAAGGAAAUGUUCGCAGAGGGGAACAAAAGCUGGCAGGGCUGCAGAGGCGGUGAGGGAAGGCGGGAGUACAUGCAGCCUGGCCCAUUCUUCAGGCUCACAGCAGGAGCGGCGAGAGUGAAAUUCCAGAAAUCUCCAGAGAGACACACUCACUCACCCCCGCACAGGCACACCUCAAAGGGACACGAGCAAUAGGCACCAGCACCCUGUUACUCCUGUGGGUGGUGGGUGCAAUGUUCAUGGUUUUUUUUUUUAUUACAAAGGUAAUAAAGCUCUCUGUGCUCACGGCAGAUAAUUUAGAAAGAAAUGAUGCUCCAUUUUUGAAUGAGCAAAAGAAAUGAUGAAUGGGGGUGACCCGGGGGAAUAGAGGGAGAGCGAACUAUGAAGAAACCACAGAGAGGAGGCGAGGGAGACAAAAGUAAGUGGAGGGAGGAUGUAGUGAAGGACAAGAUGGCAGUUCACAAAGGUGCAGAGAAAGGAAGGCGGCAGAAAGACAAGCGCACACACAGGCAGAAGGUGUCCAGGGAGCCAGAUGUGUGGACACCCCACCCCCCAUAUGCACCCCAGGAGCUCCCACAGAGUAGGGACAAAAUCCAAGGAACCUUGAGAGACAGCAGGAGGCACACUCUCCCACAGACACACACAGUGUGGCCCGGCGUCUGCAGAGUGGGGUUUGUGAAUGAAUGAAAGUGGAUGUGUGUGGGAAUCCACAGGGUGAGGGCAGAACGGAGACGGAGGAAGGCGCCGCCAGGCAGAGCCCAAGGGAAGAAGGGGCGGACAAGAGUGUGCAAGGUAUGCACACCUGUGCAUGGGGGCCCGGGCUACAGACCAACGUGGGGGCCACUUCCCAACCUACACCCAGGGGCCUCUCUUCUUGGGAAACGGAACCCACAGAGGCUUCGAGCAUGGCUGGGAAGAAGAAAGAAGAUAAAGAAACAAAACUGUCGCAGAGGGAGUGAAUGGAGAUGAAGUUACAGAGAACAAUGAGGGGAGGCCAUCAGUUUGCACACGGGGAAGGAGGAGCAGGGAGGCUGUGGGCAAGGAACGAGGAGGGGCUGGCAAGGUGG